rnacentral:rRNA from 1 species
UACGAAGGGUGCAAACGUUGCUCGGAAUCAUUGGGCGUAAAGCGCACGUAGGCGGCCUUGUAAGUCGGAUGUGAAAUCCCUCGGCUCAACCGAGGAAGUGCAUCCGAAACUGCGAGGCUCGAGUAUGGAAGAGGGUCGCAGAAUUCCCGGUGUAGAGGUGAAAUUCGUAGAUAUCGGGAGGAAUACCAGUGGCGAAGGCGGCGACCUGGGCCAAUACUGACGCUGAGGUGCGAAAGCGUGGGGAG